GCCCUCAUCGUCUAGUGGCCUAGGACAUUGCCCUUUCACGGCAAAGGCACGGGUUCAAAUCCCGUUGAGGGUACCA
rnacentral:tRNA from 1 species